rnacentral:snoRNA from 1 species
GAAUAUAGAGUAAAAAGAGGGAGAAUGGAAGUGAGAAUGAAAAUGGAGAUGAGAUUGAGAGGGAAGAUGGGAGGGAGGAGUAGCAAAAGUGAAAACAAAAUUUAAAAAUUUAAAAAUUGAAAUCUACUUGAAAUUGUUUUCACUUUCAAGUUUUUGUUUUCACUUUUAUUACUUCUCCCUUCCAUCCUCCCCUCUCAUGCUCUCUCUCAAUUUCAUCCUCACUUCCAUAUUCU